CCGAGAGACAAAAACACGCAGCAAGCUUUUUUCUCCCUUUCUCUCUCCUUUGACUCUCUCCCUCUCCCUGUUUGACUGGCGUUUCGCCAGAUUUCAGUCGCCGGAAUGCUACACAUGCCGGCCACCGUCCAAGCCCACCACCUCGCGGCCUCAGCCACCAAAUUUCCCGGCCAGCCGCCGCCGGACGCGCCCAGAUCGGGCCGGCGAAGUUACGGCGGCGAGGUGAAAUUUUUCCGGCGAUUCUCGCCGUUUCCGACCAAACCAGCCCGUCCCAUACCUCUAUCCCACCAUUUUCGACCCCUCUGAGUCCAUUUCCGGGGUUAGUUUGCCCAAAAUCCCCACCGUUUGAAAGAUCCCUCAAUAUCAAUACCGGCCGAAGCUUUCCGGCCAAAUUCCGGCCACCUCCGGCGGAAUUGGGGUCGAUGGAGACCGGAUUUGUGAUCCUCGUCCCACGAGCUUCGAUUCGGAGCACCGGUGAGUCGUAGAAUUGAUCCCGUGGUGGAUCAUGGGUUAAUUGCGUGCUCCAGGUCCAGGUUGGAGACGUUGAUUGUCCGGGGCGAGCCCAACGUCUCAGUUCGUUGCCGAAGGUUCAAGAAGUUUUUCUUCCCUUUUCUCCUCUCUAUCAUGUAUUAUUUCCGUAUCUGUCAUUUUAUAAAUUCCGCAUGUAACUGUAAAAUGCUCUGUAUACUGUAUUGGACGUGU